rfam:Triticum aestivum genome assembly, contig: Triticum_aestivum_CS42_TGACv1_scaffold_031625_1BL
AUAGUACUCCCUUCGUCCGGAAAUACUUGUCAUUGAAAUGAUGUAUCUUGAUGUAUUUUAGUUCUAGAUACAUCCAUUUUCAUCCAUUUUGAUGACAAGUAAUUCCGGACGGAGGGAGUAAAAG